rnacentral:lncRNA from 1 species
ACAGACAAGACGUAUAAUUUUUAUGGAAUUACAUGAUAAUCAUAUUCGGAUUUAUAGAAGCAUUUUACAAGUAUUGCAAUCAUUGGGUAGAGAUAAUCAUGGUAUUUUCAUCCGCUUGGUACUUUUUGAAACAUGACCAUGUUGUGUAAGCAACCUGCAAUUUUUCAGUCCGUGAGAGCCCGCCCUCCCAUUUUUUUCCCGAUCCCCAAGGAUUCUCUCAAAUCAAUAUCUUUAGUUUUCUUUUUUUUGUCUCCAAGGCCCAGGACACUUGUCAAAAGGACCUGCAGCAAGUGGUCCCCAGUAGUUUUGCUGACAUAGUUAACAAUUUCCACGUGUGCAGUGCAGGCCUUCAUAUGGCACGCACUUUAGUAAAGCUCUCAACUCACUGCUGUGAACCUGCCAAUCCGCUGUAACAACUCUGCUUUAAGACAAAACCAGACAAAACUUAAAAAAAAAAAAGUGUUUGUGAUCCAGCUUUUCUCUUGUCAUCCAAUGUGCAUGCAGUAAGAUCGGUUGGAUAUUAAACCAUCAAUAAAGUUUCACAAGAUUUGAAAACCGAGUUUCUGUAGCUUUGCUAUCUAAGAUCACCGUGUUAUGACAACGGGUGCCUGGUUGAUGUUUUUGAGGGAAAGGACAUAUUGAGAUGCUGCGGC